rnacentral:misc_RNA from 1 species
GAUGAAGAACGUAGCGAAAUGCGCUAAGUAAUGUGAAUUGCAGAAUUCAGUGAAUCAUCGAAUCUUUGAACGCACAUUGCGCCCGCCAGUAUUCUGGCGGGCAUGCCUGUUCGAGCGUCAUUUCAACCAUCAAGCCCCAGGCUUGUGUUGGGGACCUGCGGCUGCCGCAGGCCCUGAAAACCAGUGGCGGGCUCGCUGUCACACCGGGCGUAGUAGAUUUUAUCUCGCUCAGGGCGUGCUGCGGGUUCCGGCCGUUAAAAAGCCUUUUUUACCCAAGGUUGACCUCGGAUCAGGUAGGAAGACCCGCUGAACUUAAGCAUAUCAAUAAGCGGAGGA